rnacentral:tRNA from 1 species
UUAAAAAAGAURAGCUAAAUUUAA